rnacentral:rRNA from 1 species
UACGAAGGGUGCAAGCGUUAAUCGGAAUUACUGGGCGUAAAGGGUGCGUAGGCGGUCUGUUAAGUUGGAUGUGAAAGCCCCGGGCUCAACCUGGGAAUGGCAUCCGGAACUGUCAGGCUAGAGUGCAGGAGAGGAAGGUAGAAUUCCCGGUGUAGCGGUGAAAUGCGCAGAUAUCAGGAGGAACACCAAUGGCGAAGGCAGGUCUCUGGGCAGUUACUGACGCUCAUGCGCGAAAGCUGGGGUAGCGAACCGGAUUAGAUACCCGUGUA